GGAAAAAUUCAGCUGGGUUUCUGUGCCAAAUGCAACUGCAAAAGCAAUGACAAGAUAAUGAAAUACACAGAGACAUUUUCUCACACUCGUCUUAAAUCCUCCCAUCGCUUGACCUUGUUGAAAUGAUAAAGCCAGGAAUCUGUCUAUUACAGCUCUCUGAGCUAUUGAAAAUGACACUGGGGCUAUUAAUCUACUGUUUCAUACAACAACUAUUCUAAGACAGGUCAGCUAUUGCUGGAAAAUGGAUGCCUUCUGCUGCAAGUUAUAUUUUUAUUUAUCACCUUUGUAUUCCACCUUUGGGACGCGGGUGGCGCUGUGGGUUAAACCACAGAGCCUAGGACUUGCCGAUCAGAAGGUCAGCGGUUCAAAUCCCCGCGACGGGGUGAGCUCCCGUUGCUCGGUCCCUGCUCCUGCCAACCUAGCAGUUCGAAAGCACGUCAAAGUGCAAGUAGAUAAAUAGGUACCGCUCCAGCAGGAACGUAAACAACGUUUCCGUACACUGCUCUGGUUCACCAGAAGUGGCUUAGUCAUGCUGGCCACAUGACCCAGAAGCUCCCUUGGCCAAUAAAGCGAGAUGAGUGCCGCAACCCCAGAGUCAGUCACAACUGGACCCAAUGGUCAGGGGUCCCUUUACCUUUACCUAUUCCACCUUUACUCCAAGGAGCUCAGGGUUUUGCACAUUGUUCUCCGAUCACAUUUAUCCUUAAUGAUAAUCCUGUGAGGCAGUUUAGGCUGGGAGGCGGGUACACCCAGUGAAUUCACCGAGUUUGUGAAGAUUUGAAUUCAGAUUCUUCCACUCUCUGUUCAAUAUUCUAACCGCUACAUUACACUGUGUUUAUAUCAGGAGUUCUCUCCUUCCCAUGAGAAGUGCUUGCCACAAAUGUCAAUAAGGAAGUAAAAACAGGUUGGAAUUUACCUUAGUAUAGCCUACUCAGUUUCAGAGGACCACAGAGUAUGAUGGGCACACACACACACAAAACCCCAUUUUUAAAACCACAGUGUGGGGUAGUGGUUAGAGUGCUGGACUAGGAUCUCUGAUGCUAGGGUUCACAUCUCCACUCAGCUGUGCAGCCAACUCGGUGCCCUUAUGCCAGCCACAGUCUCUCUGUCUAAUCUACUUUAUAGAGUUGUUUUGAGGAUAAAUGGAGAAGUGGGUUAGAACCAGCUUUUUGGAAGAAAGAGGGGAUAUAAAUUGAAUAAAUAAAUAAAUUCCUAUGUUUUUCACUUGCUGAGGUAAUCACUCUUGGAUUUCCUGCUUCGGAAAGCAAAGAUUCUUGAGCCAUGGAGCAGCUCUUCCUUCAAGGAAAUACCGGUAUUUCUCUUAUGGCAAAAUCAGCCAUUGGCCCAUUUUUCCUCAUGACCAGUUCCGCAUGCUGAGAGUCCAUAAAGAAUUCAGCAUGUUGCUCUUCGAAACACACAACAUACAACAAAAGCUACGUUUAUAGUGCCACGAUAAUUCAAACAACUGCUGACCACUUUGUGGUAAAGUAACCACAUGAAUACUACACUAUUUUGAUUACACUUCAAAAAAUAUAUAUGCCAUACUUCCUCCCAGUUACUCAGGGUUAUUCAUCCUCUUAUUUUAUCCACACAACAACCCUGUGAGAGGGGUUCCAUGUAACUUCACCACAGUUCUGAUCAGGGAGAAGAGAGGAGCAAUGAGAACAGGAAUCACUAUGGCAUUAAUUUUCCUAUAAGGGGAGGGUGGCGGCAGAAAUCUUAUUUCUGCUUAAUUUGUCAAAACUGUGUGGCACAGAUACAAUGUCACUUCUGUUUAAUGAGAUCGACUGGUACAGAAAUUUCUGUAGUGCUGUUCUGUUGUUUCCCCCAUUCCAUAAAAAUACUUUCAACAGUAACACAAUUGUUUUCUUUUCGCAAAAAAUGCAAGAAGGACCGAUAGUGAACUUAUCAUUUUGGGCUAUUUAGAGAAUCUGAAAAACAGUAAUACUUUGUUGCCUUGAAACGAGUCGCUGGUUGCGAAAGCUGGUUGCCUUCUCAAUGCAUUGUAUGCUUAAGGUUAGAUGGUAUUUCUGGCAAGAAAUUGUUUUAAAAAAUAAAAAUGGGCAAAUAGCAACUCUCCCUAUACCCUGCUUCUGUCCUGGAACACAUUGUCCCCUGCUGAUGCUAUUUGUGAAGAAAUAUGUAGCUGAUGGCAAGCUCAGGAUACAAAAAUGCAAUUAAAAUCACAUCUAAUCUGAUCCUGAAGAACAGUAUUUUGGCUUCUUCCUUUCCCCAAACCCUGUGAAUUCAUGUCAGCCUUUACACAGCUCAAUCUGCCUGGGAUGGUUUACACCAGAAAUAUAUAUUGCCUCUUAUUCGCAAAUGACCUGCAUGAACAGGCAUUAUGAGACCAGCAGCAGCAGCAAGCACACAGACUGGCUGCAUUAAUCUCAAGGCAACAUCAACCGAGAACCUAAACCAACAUUUAAUUGAGUAAAUUCCAGACAGAUUAUCUGAGGGUGCUUCCAGACCGGGGUGGUGGUGGUUAAAUGUGGAAUCAGUGCUGCUGAUUGUGGCGUGUGGAUGACUCCAUAAAAGAGCCCAGUCAUGCAGCUAUUUUCUGAGUCUUGAUCAGUCUGUUUUGUCUUCUUGUCUGUUGUCUUGUCCUAUCUCUUGCUGCCAUGCUGCUCUCCUGCAGCCAUUUUGUAUUCUCUUAAUGUAAUUUUUGCUGUCUGCUGGCUCUUAGCCGGCAGCACAUGAGUUCGGUCUCCAUAGGAGAUAAACUCAGUUUCUUUGUGUAACUACCAAGUAAAGUCUGCCUCUCAGGGAUCAUAUCGUGAACUGAAAUAAAGUGAGUAAACUUUUUGUUACUUUACUC